rnacentral:sRNA from 1 species
AAAUCAGUGGAAAAAACAAUGGAGAAGAAAAGUUGCUGGAGACCAUGGCCAAAAUGGAGGUGAAAACCUCACUUCUGGACAAUAUGAUUGGAGUUGGGGAUAUGGUUCUUUUAGAACCUCUGAAUGAGGAGACCUUCAUCAACAACCUCAAGAAGCGCUUUGACCACAGUGAAAUAUACACAUACAUUGGAAGUGUGGUUAUAUCUGUUAACCCAUAUCGGUCUUUGCCCAUUUAUUCACCAGAGAAAGUGGAAGAAUACAGGAACAGAAAUUUUUAUGAACUGAGCCCUCACAUCUUUGCCCUUUCGGAUGAAGCAUACAGAUCCCUACGAGAUCAAGAUAAGGACCAAUGUAUUCUCAUUACUGGGGAAAGCGGAGCAGGAAAAACAGAGGCCAGUAAGCUUGUCAUGUCCUAUGUGGCAGCUGUUUGUGGAAAAGGAGCAGAAGUUAAUCAAGUUAAAGAACAGCUUUUACAGUCCAACCCGGUCCUGGAAGCUUUUGGAAAUGCCAAAACUGUAAGGAAUGACAACUCCUCUAGAUUUGGCAAAUAUAUGGAUAUUGAAUUUGACUUUAAAGGCGAUCCACUAGGAGGAGUAAUAAGUAACUGUGAGUAUUUUUCUUGAGUCCUUGUAAAGAAGUUCAGAAUACUAAAACAUAUAUUUAUAGUAGAAUAGUUUAGAUACUUGUGUCUUUGAGGCAUAAGAAUAUGUUUCCUUGCUUUAUAUUUAGACUUUAAGCUUUGCAUUUCAGAUUGUUUUAUAAUAUAAUGU